GUCAAAAGUAGAUGAAAUGACUGUUAAUGUUGUAGACUGACGACAGACUGGUUUGCUUGUACCGUGAACAACAUGCCCCAGUUGCACUCUCUGUACCCACAAUGCACUUCAGCAUGGCAAGACGUCCUCCUACUUGACUGGCUGUAUGAAUCUGCCUUUUAUAACCCUGGUUUGCGCCUGUAUCCGGCACAGAUGUCUCAGAUCUUGGCGUUAAAUAAAGAAGCAGUAAAAACACUGAGGUGAAUGGAAAUGAUAGAGACCAACUACAUUCGAGAGAUGGUAUUAUCAUUGGCAUUGUUGGACUUUUUCUAAGAUAAAUAAUCAACACUA
rnacentral:lncRNA from 1 species